rnacentral:rRNA from 1 species
UACGAAGGGGACUAGCGUUGUUCGGAAUCACUGGGCGUAAAGCGCACGUAGGCGGAUGUGUCAGUCAGGGGUGAAAUCCCGGGGCUCAACCUCGGAACUGCCUUUGAUACAGCACGUCUCGAGUCCGGAAGAGGUGGGUGGAAUUCCUAGUGUAGAGGUGAAAUUCGUAGAUAUUAGGAAGAACACCGGUGGCGAAGGCGGCCCACUGGUCCGGUACUAACGCUGAGGUGCGAAAGCGUGGGGAGCAAACAGG